UACAGAGGUCUCAAGCGUUGUUCGGAUUCAUUGGGCGUAAAGCGCGCGUAGGUGGCCACAUAAGUCCGUUGUGAAAGUCAAAGGCUCAACCUUUGAAAGCCGAUGGAUACUGUGUGGCUAGAGUACGGAAGAGGCGAGUGGAAUUCCUGGUGUAGCGGUGGAAUGCGCAGAUAUCAGGAGAAACACCAAUAGCGAAGGCAGCUCGCUGGGACGUUACUGACACUGAGGCGCGAAAGCGUGGGGAGCGAACAGG
rnacentral:rRNA from 1 species